AACGAACGCUGGCGGCAGGCUUAACACAUGCAAGUCGAGCGCCCCGCAAGGGGAGCGGCAGACGGGUGAGUAACGCGUGGGAAUCUACCCAUCUCUACGGAAUAACGCAUGGAAACGUGUGCUAAUACCGUAUACGUCCUUCGGGAGAAAGAUUUAUCGGAGAUGGAUGAGCCCGCGUUGGAUUAGCGAGUUGGUGGGGUAAAGGCCUACCAAGGCGACGAUCCAUAGCUGGUCUGAGAGGAUGAUCAGCCACACUGGGGACUGAGACACGGCCCAGACUCCUACGGGAGGCAGCAGUGGGGAAUAUUGGACAAUGGGCGCAAGCCUGAUCCAGCCAUGCCGCGUGAGUGAUGAAGGCCCUAGGGUUGUAAAGCUCUUUCACCGGUGAAGAUAAUGACGGUAACCGGAGAAGAAGCCCCGGCUAACUUCGUGCCAGCAGCCGCGGUAACAC
rnacentral:rRNA from 1 species